AUGGCACAAUAAAUAUAGAACUGCAUCAUGUUUUUAAAAGAUCAUUGUAAUUUUAACACAUUCUUACUAAAGACACACAUACUAUCAGUGACCAACCUGAAAUUCUGU